ACUCCUACGGGAGGCAGCAGUGGGGAAUAUUGCACAAUGGGCGCAAGCCUGAUGCAGCGACGCCGCGUGGGGGACGAAGGCCUUCGGGUUGUAAACCCCUUUCAGCAGGGAAGAAGCGAAAGUGACGGUACCUGCAGAAGAAGCGCCGGCUAACUACGUGCCAGCAGCCGCGGUAAUACGUAGGGCGCAAGCGUUGUCCGGAAUUAUUGGGCGUAAAGAGCUCGUAGGCGGUUUGUCGCGUCUGCUGUGAAAACCCGAGGCUCAACCUCGGGCCUGCAGUGGGUACGGGCAGACUAGAGUGCGGUAGGGGAGACUGGAAUUCCUGGUGUAGCGGUGGAAUGCGCAGAUAUCAGGAGGAACACCGAUGGCGAAGGCAGGUCUCUGGGCCGCAACUGACGCUGAGGAGCGAAAGCAUGGGGAGCGAACAGGAUUAGAUACCCUGGUAGUCCAUGCCGUAAACGUUGGGCACUAGGUGUGGAGCUCAUUCCACGAGUUCCGUGCCGCAGCAAACGCAUUAAGUGCCCCGCCUGGGGAGUACGGCCGCAAGGCUAAAACUCAAAGGAAUUGACGGGGGCCCGCACAAGCGGCGGAGCAUGCGGAUUAAUUCGAUGCAACGCGAAGAACCUUACCAAGGCUUGACAUAUACCGAAAACUCAUGGAGACAUGGGGUCCGCAAGGGCGGUAUACAGGUGGUGCAUGGUUGUCGUCAGCUCGUGUCGUGAGAUGUUGGGUUAAGUCCCGCAACGAGCGCAACCCUCGUCCUAUGUUGCCAGCACAUCAUGGUGGGGACUCAUAGGAGACUGCCGGGGUCAACUCGGAGGAAGGUGGGGAUGACGUCAAAUCAUCAUGCCCCUUAUGUCUUGGGCUUCACGCAUGCUACAAUGGCCGGUACAAAGGGCUGCGAUACCGCAAGGUGGAGCGAAUCCCAAAAAGCCGGUCUCAGUUCGGAUUGGGGUCUGCAACUCGACCCCAUGAAGUCGGAGUCGCUAGUAAUCGCAGAUCAGCAACGCUGCGGUGAAUACGUUCCCGGGCCUUGUCCCCCCCGCCCGU
rnacentral:rRNA from 1 species